rnacentral:lncRNA from 1 species
AGGGUUGGGGGUUGGUAAGAUGGAGGUGGUUUUCCAGGAGAUAAUGACUAUGACACAUCUUGUGCCCACAGGUGGGCCCAAUGGGGGAGGGGCUGGUGGGCCUGGGGACCCUGGUCCUAGGUCUGGAGUGGCCCUAUGAAGUCAGCAAUGGCAAGUGGCUGCUGUAUCCCACGGAGAUCACCGUCCAUGGCAAUGGGUCCUGGCCCUGCCGACCACCUGGAGACCUUAUCAACCCUCUCAACCUCACUCUUUCUGACCCUGGGGACAGGCCAUCAUCCCCACAGCGCAGGCGGCGACAGCUGG